CUGCCCAUCUGGGGCGGGGCCUGACAGGAGUGCCUUGCCAGGAAGGGAGGGCAAAGGGCCAUGUCCCGUACCUGCCCCACCCGGCUGACAAGAGUCCUGGUCACCAGGCCACCCUCUCCGUCUAGGGCCCUCGAGGGAAGUCCAUGAAACUGGGGCACUGGGUGGCAGAUCUGGAACAUCUCGGACCCUUCUCCUUCUGACAUCAGCAUCAGGGAUAAGACCAGAGCGGAAGGACCUCAUCCAGGCGAGCCACAGAUCACUGUUCCCGCCUGUCACCCUACAACAGAGCCCAGUGACUGGAGCACUGGGGGACACCCAAGCAGAGCCCUCGCUGGAUCAAGUACUCCAGGAGAGGGAUGAAGCCAUUGCUAAGAAGCAGGCAGUGGAGGCUGAGCUGGACACAUGCAAAGCCAAGUUACGAGCUGUGGAGGCCCAGCUGCUGGAGGUCCUGGAGGAGAAACUGAGACUGAGGCAGGAGGUGGAGGCCUGGGAGGAGGACAUGCAACAGCUGGUGAGGCAGCGGGUCGAGAGUCAGCUGCACAGAGAGUCCAGAAGCACUUUGAGAGCCCCCAUGGAACCUGGAGCUGCCAGGGCCCCCUCGUUCCGAUUCCCCCUGGUUCGAUGGCGGCGUUGGCGGUGAGAGAGCUCAACCCAGGACCUUGAGAGCUGUGUCUUUAUUCAUUAAACUUAAGGUCUGACUACCUUUA